GGCUCGGGGGUAUGGGAGAGUUCGGGAAUGGCCAUGUGAUCAGAAGCUGCCACAGAAUAAUUCUUGAGACCCGGAAAGGCCAAGUGACCCUUUCCACCUGUCCAGAAUGGCUGGAUUUCCCUAGGGUGUCUGCAUCCUGUAAGUGGGGCCUCAGCUUUCUCCAACUCAAAAAACAGCAGGGGAAGAAGUGCCACAUCUGCAUGUGCGGAAACACGAAGCCGGGGCCUGUGGGCAUGUACCAUGCAGGAGAGAGAGACCUCACGGGCAGGUCGGAAGUGAGAGCGAUGUUGCUAACGACAGAGCUGGAGAGAGCUGUCCUCUAUUUAGCUCUGUUCCCACCGCGAGUCGAGCAGUUUAUGAGGAAACUGAGGUGCAGGAAUUUUCUGACGGUCACCACGCUCACACAGCCGGGAAGCUAAGAAGCAGAGACUCAGAUUCAGGGAGCCUCUCUCCCGGGCUGGUGCUCCAAGCCCCGGGAGAAGGGCGGGGCCUGCUAUGUAGAAUCAGCAGGUGCGCGUGAGUCCCAAGUCCGCUAACUUCAGACGUGCAGGUGACCCAGGCGGCCCGAGUGCACGCGCCCUUCAAGAGCCGAGCCUGUUCCCCGGCUGGGCGCAGAAGAGGAAGCGGGAAGGUGCGAAUCAGGAAGCCUGAAGGGGUAGAGAAUGCCACACUGGAAUGAAGAUGGAGGGUCCUCGUGCGGCUCUAGAAGCUGAGAGCGCCCUGCAGCGGACACCCAGCGAGGACAUCAGGGACCGCUUUCUGCCAGUAACAGGAAUGUGCCUGGAAGAAGGUCCUGCGCUCCGGAAAAGAGCACAGCGGCCCUGAGACCCCUCGCCUUCAGUCUGAGCGGGGACUCUGGCCGCACCAGGCUGAAAGCUCCGAUCCAGGGAGCCGGGACCUGAUAGGCAGCUCCAAGCCUGACUUGGACAUUCAACGACAGAGCCUCACCUUCCUCUUCUGGAAUUUGCAGAGGCUCAUCCUAACACUACUUCACAGGGGUGACAAGAGCAAAACAAGAUGACCCAGGUAAGGUCCCCAGCCCAGAGUCCGCCCCAAGUGAGCUCCGUGUGUGGAAGUGGCAAUGACUGUUCGCUGUGUUCUGACACUGCAUGUGGCUGAGGCGGUCAGUCUCAGUGUGUGUGGGGGUCACCUUUACCUGCUUUGCACAAGGUGGGAGGUGCCACUGGUGACACUGCCCGCAUCUCCAGACAUGAGGGGACCAAGGUUUGCCUGAGCUGGGAGCCUGGGUGCUCCUGAGGGCAGAGGCUCUCAGCCAGCGUGUGCAGGAUGAAUGGGGAGCGGGAAGGGGCUGAGACGCCACUGGAUCUUUCUCUUGCAGGCCUGGGGUCAGCACUGAGGGUCGGGGACCAGGAAAAAUACUGGUCUAGGAGGUCAGGGAACAGCUUAACACCUGCCUGGUGGCUACCUGUAGGGCCCUCAGUGGUCAGUUACGGAGGGCAGGUAUUCCAGCAUUGGCUGUACUGAUGUUUUGGACCGAAUGAUUCUCUACUGUGGGGCUGUUCUGUGCUCUGCAGAUGCUUAGCAGCCCCCUGAGCCUCUGCCCAUCACAUGACAGGAGCAGCCCCCAUUGCCAGUCAGGGUAACCAGAAAGGUCUCCAGGCAUUGCCAGAUAUUCUCCGGAAGACGCUACGCGGCCAGUUGAGAACCACUGGGUCAUGACUCCAGUGAUCAGCUGUGCUCCCAGAUCUUGGCUGGGGGAUAGCCCCCCGUCAAUAAGGCAAAGGCUGGGAAAGGUGGGCCUGUCCUUCCACCUGCAGAAUAAACCAAUGAUCUGGAAUUUUCGAGGCUUGGCAUGGGGGUUGCUGAGAUGCAUCCCACGCCCUAUCCAAAAUCUUAGGCACUCACUUGGACCUAUGGGGACAAGGACAAAGCCUAGGAGCUCGCGACUAAGGUAAUGUCCUCUUUGUGUUACCAGGUGAGUAGGGACUGGGUCGUGUUGGGAGGGGGAGGAGGAGACUUGGGAUAUUUCUGGGAUUUGGGAGACUGUGCAGUCUGGUCUGGGGUCAGGCUGACACCUAGGGCACAGGCUUGUGUGGCCAACAAAACCUGGGUCUUCCCUUUUUCCCUUCCUUACCUGCGUAAUUCAGCUCUGUGGGCCCAACUUGGUUCAGAUCCUCCCGAAGGCCUCUCUGACACCUGUCCUUUCCAGCUGCCUUAGGGUCCUUCUCUGGUUUUCCCCCAUCCCCGUCCCUAAGCAUAGCAGGUUCUGCCUGACCAAAGAGCCACAGCCUCUGCUAUCUGGUCCACUUUUGUGCACCCAGUACCUAGCAAGAGGACCUGACACAGAGGCCUCUUUAUUCCCAGCAGUUGGCUGAUGGCCCACUAGGGCCUAAGCCCCCCAGCCAAGCACAAAUCAUUUCCAGCCCCGGAAAGGGUUGCCAGGGGUGUCGGUGCAUCACAAAAUGGGGACAUCUAGUCUGCUGGUCAUGGUUGAGGUUUCGUGUCCCUCUCGUGUCCCCAUAGAGGGACCAGUUGUCCCGGUUCACCCAGAACUAAGGGGUUUCUUGGGACAGGGAAUGUCAACAUUGAAACAGGCAAAGUGCUGGACAAAUCAGGAUGAGAUGGAUAUUCUAGUUCGUGCACCUGCCUGGAAGAUUGACUCUAGCACACAGUUUACAUCCUGGAACAAGGUGCCAACGUAGUGUCAGAGUUAAAAGCCCGUUUGACAGGGCCAGGUACGGGGGCUGGAACCCAAGGGAUCCAUCAUCUCACACCCUCAUGGCCAGAACCAACCGCCAGGUUCUAGGUUCUCAGAAGCUGCCCAACUUCCUGGGAACCACGCAUCCCUCCUCCCUCCCGGGAGCCCAAAUUCCAAGAAAUGCAGCUAAAAUUGGCCCUCGAACAGCUUUUGCAGAGCACGUCGCGGCUUUUUUUGGGUCUAGAGAGCCGGUUUCCAUGAUGAAAGUGGCACAGAAGGAGAGACCCAGCUAAAAACAGCCACCGCCCAGACUGGUUGUUCGCAGGAUGCCGCCUCCCCAGCCUCUUGCGGGGUUUGGACGCCUCACUUCCGCAGCCGCCGCCGCCGCCUGUCGCCACUAGGUGGCAGCAUCGCAGCGCGCGGCGGGGACGGCGCCCCGGGCCAGCGGCCGAGAGCCGCUCCUGAAAACACUGCCCAUAAAAUACGCACCAGCCACAAAAUUCUCCACUAAAUUAUUUCCCUUUCAUUUGGGGUCAUUUGUGUGCUUUGCAGGAGCUCUGCGGAAGGGUCUCUUCGACGGGCCGACCUAGUGCCGCCCCAGCACCGCUCGAGUCUGCUCCCCGCGCCCCGGGGUGUCCCUGAUGCGGGCCGAUCCCCCCACCAGCCCCCCGGACUUAGCAGGGUUAUCUUGCCUCGGGUCCCACGUCGCAGCAGAAGUUUGGAAUUUUCCAGAAGAAGUGGCCUAGCCCUGGGGGAGGGGAACGCCCCCAUUUGGGGCCUGUGGUCCUGCCCUGCAGAGCCCCUGGCUUCCCUGUGUGGGCCUCAGGGAUGGAGUUUUGGCUCAGGAGUGUGGCUGCCUUGCUCUUAGGUCCCCAAAUCGUGGGGAAACAGGGCCCUGGGGGCACCCACCUCUGAGGCCACGGUGAGGAGUAAAUGAGUCCCCAUGUGAACGGGACGGUGCCCGCCGCCUCUCAAGGGCUCCCAGUCCGAACUACUUGUCAUGGUUCCUCAGUGUCCCCAGGGGCUGGUAUGAUGGUGCCCCACAAGGAGUAACUCAGUGGGUCUGCCCUUGUUUCAGAGGCAAGAGGGGGAGGUGGAGAUCAUCUCCAAGGUCUUGCUUCUCAAAGCCUAGUUCGAGGCUGGCAGCAGGCGACAUAGGUACCCUCCUUCGAAACGGAGUCUUGGCCCCAUCAAGCCCACGGAGCCAGACCCUCCCUUCACAGCACCCACAGGGGCUUCGUGACACCCUGAGGUUGGAGGGACACGGCUCCAAGGCACCUUCCGGCCUCGGUGGGCUGGGAUUCCGCACCCACAUCCCAGCUUUCUGCAGCUGCCUGGGUGCUCUGGUGUGACGGGAGGUGACAGGCUGCGGUGGGCCUGGCUGUGCUCCAUGCACUCCCGCAAGCGCCCAGAUCUGGCUCACCACGUGCCUGCAGAUCCUGCUGGCUCCCUCCGGCCUGGCCACAGCAGUCUCCAUCCUCCCAGUGACUCUGGGACCAGGAACUGACACUGUCUUGACCCUGUCCACCCUGGAAGGUCCGGCUCCAAAGCAGCGGCACUGGGCAUUGCUCGUCAGCACUGAUAGAACCUGCCGUGCGCCGGGAUGGUGUCCUUGUUCCCGGGCCAUCACGAGUGACUAACCCAGCCUCCUGGGAUCCGAAGCACCUCGAGAGCUUUUAAGGCGCCACAAGAAUCACCCGAGAGCUUGUCGGGAUGCAGAUGCGGAUUCUCCGGGUCUGGGAUGGAGCCCAACCAAGACUCUGCAUUACUAACGUGCUCCAGAGGCUGCCGAGCCGCAGGCCAACACUCGGAGCCACAGAGAUUGGUUCUCACCUGAGGAUCCCAUGGGGGCUUUUGCAUGCCCGUGUCUGGGUCCCACCCCAGACCAUCUGAAUCAGGCCAUGUCUCCGGGUGAUUUCGGUGGGUAGCCACAGCCACCAGCCCAGGAGCGAGUAGAAAGGUGCUUAGGCUCUUCUCCAGAGCCACAGAAGCAGAAACACUAGGAGUAAGGCACGAGAACCACAAGAACCACCAAAGCCAUGAGAGCCAUGAAAACCACAAGAAACCACAAGAUCCACGAGAACCACGGUCCUAGGUGUGCCUGACCUUGGCUCCACCCAUCAGCUCCUACCUGGUCU